GUUUGAUCCUGGCUCAGGAUGAACGCUGACAGAAUGCUUAACACAUGCAAGUCUACUUGAAUUUGGGUUUUUAACUUAGGUUUGGGUGGCGGACGGGUGAGUAACGCGUAAAGAACUUGCCUCACAGCUAGGGACAACAUUUAGAAAUGAAUGCUAAUACCUAAUAUUAUGAUAAUAGGGCAUCCUAUAAUUAUGAAAGCUAUAUGCGCUGUGAGAGAGCUUUGCGUCCCAUUAGCUAGUUGGAGAGGUAACGGCUCACCAAGGCGAUGAUGGGUAGCCGGCCUGAGAGGGUGAUCGGCCACAAGGGGACUGAGACACGGCCCUUACUCCUACGGGAGGCAGCAGUGGGGAAUAUUGGACAAUGGACCGAGAGUCUGAUCCAGCAAUUCUGUGUGCACGAUGAAGUUUUUCGGAAUGUAAAGUGCUUUCAGUUGGGAAGAAAGAAAUGACGGUACCAACAGAAGAAGUGACGGCUAAAUACGUGCCAGCAGCCGCGGUAAUACGUAUGUCACGAGCGUUAUCCGGAUUUAUUGGGCGUAAAGCGCGUCUAGGUGGUUAUAUAAGUCUGAUGUGAAAAUGCAGGGCUCAACUCUGUAUUGCGUUGGAAACUGUAUAACUAGAGUACUGGAGAGGUAAGCGGAACUACAAGUGUAGAGGUGAAAUUCGUAGAUAUUUGUAGGAAUGCCGAUGGGGAAGCCAGCUUACUGGACAGAUACUGACGCUGAAGCGCGAAAGCGUGGGUAGCAAACAGGAUUAGAUACCCUGGUAGUCCACGCUGUAAACGAUGAUUACUAGGUGUUGGGGGUCGAACCUCAGCGCCCAAGCAAACGCGAUAAGUAAUCCGCCUGGGGAGUACGUACGCAAGUAUGAAACUCAAAGGAAUUGACGGGGACCCGCACAAGCGGUGGAGCAUGUGGUUUAAUUCGACGCAACGCGAGGAACCUUACCAGCGUUUGACAUCUUAGGAAUGAGAUAGAGAUAUUUCAGUGUCCCUUCGGGGAAACCUAAAGACAGGUGGUGCAUGGCUGUCGUCAGCUCGUGUCGUGAGAUGUUGGGUUAAGUCCCGCAACG
rnacentral:rRNA from 1 species